rnacentral:rRNA from 1 species
CUUUUCAGAGGMAUUUGCUCUUUAAUGGAUAAAACACCAAAAUCUUACUUAGAUUUGUGAUUUCAAUUUGUAUACCACUAUAAAAACAAUUUAUAAUUUUAAUUGUUUAAAUUUACAAAAUUAAAAUAUWUUAAGUCAAGGUGCAGUAAAAAUUUAAGGAUGAAGUGAAUUACAUUACUUUUUAGUGAAAUAAAUUUAUAAUAAUACUUAGGAUUUGAAAGUAAAAUUAAAAUAGGAUGUUAAUUU